rnacentral:rRNA from 1 species
ACGUACGAUCCUAUUUUGUUGGUUUCUAGGACCGCCGUAAUGAUUAAUAGGGAUAGUUGGGGGCAUUAGUAUUCAGUUGUCAGAGGUGAAAUUCUUGGAUUUAUUGAAGACUAACUACUGCGAAAGCAUUUGCCAAGGAUGUUUUCAUUAAUCAAGAACGAAAGUUAGGGGAUCGAAGACGAUUAGAUACCGUCGUAGUCUUAACCAUAAACUAUGCCGACUAGGGAUCGGGCGCAGUUCAAACGACUCGCUCGGCACCUUAAGAGAAAUCAAAGUUUUUGGGUUCUGGGGGGAGUAUGGUCGCAAGGCUGAAACUUAAAGGAAUUGACGGAAGGGCACCACCAUGAGUGGAGCCUGCGGCUUAAUUUGACUCAACACGGGGAAACUCACCAGGUCCAGACACAGUAAGGAUUGACAGAUUGAGAGCUCUUUCUUGAUUCUGUGAUUGGUGGUGCAUGGCCGUUCUUAGUUGGUGGAGUGAUUUGUCUGCCUAAUCGCGAUAACGAACGAGACCCUUACCUGCUAAAUAGUCGACUUGGCCUUGGCCGGGACCUUUUGGUUACGACUUCUUAGAGGGACUGGAGGCUCCAAGCCUCAGGAAGCCGGGGGCAAUAACAGGUCUGUGAUGCCCUUAGAUGUUCUGGGCCGCACGCGCGCUACACUGAUAAAGUCAACGAGUUUUAUUCAUAGAAUUCGUCCUUGGCCGGAAGGCCUGGGCAAUCUUGU